GUGAACCGGUGAUAACUGGAUCUACUUCGUGAAGUUGCCGGGAGGCUCAGGACAGGGUUGCAAGCGCUGACUCUCUGGGUUUGCCUGGUGUGACUUUACCAUCAGCAGAGAGAUAUUUCAUGUAGCUAUUUAAACAUUUGAACUCCAGAGGCCAGCAGAACUGAGUUAGAAUCCUGAUCCUGACAUUCCCUGGGUGUGUGGCUUUGAGCAAGUCCCAAAUCUCCACUGUUGAAGAAAGAGGCUAAUAAACCACUCUACAGAGA